GUUGACCUCGGAUCAGGUAGGAAUACCCGCUGAACUUAAGCAUAUCAAUAAGCGGAGGAAAAGAAACCAACAGGGAUUGCCCUAGUAACGGCGAGUGAAGCGGCAACAGCUCAAAUUUGAAAUCUGGCUCUCGGGCCCGAGUUGUAAUUUGUAGAGGAUACUUUUGAUGCGGUGCCUUCCGAGUUCCCUGGAACGGGACGCCAUAGAGGGUGAGAGCCCCGUCUGGUUGGAUGCCAAAUCUCUGUAAAGUUCCUUCGACGAGUCGAGUAGUUUGGGAAUGCUGCUCUAAAUGGGAGGUAUAUGUCUUCUAAAGCUAAAUAUUGGCCAGAGACCGAUAGCGCACAAGUAGAGUGAUCGAAAGAUGAAAAGCACUUUGAAAAGAGAGUUAAAAAGUACGUGAAAUUGUUGAAAGGGAAGCGUUUAUGACCAGACUUGGACUUGGUUAAUCAUCUGGGGUUCUCCCCAGUGCACUUCUCCAGUUCAGGCCAGCAUCAGUUUUCGCCGGGGGAUAAAGGCAGCGGGAAUGUGGCUCUCUUCGGGGAGUGUUAUAGCCCGUUGUGUAAUACCCUGGUGGGGACUGAGGUUCGCGCUUCUGCAAGGAUGCUGGCGUAAUGGUCAUCAACGAC
rnacentral:rRNA from 1 species